AGCUCAGCUUGGUAGAGCACUACGUUCGGGACGUAGGGGUCGCAAGUUCGAAUCUUGUC
rnacentral:tRNA from 1 species